UGUAAGUCCAAUUAAACCUAUUUUUCUUCCCAGUCUCAGGUAUGUCUUUAUCAGCAGCAUGAAAAUGGACUAAUACAGUGGGCUUACUCAAGAUUUAUUCAAAUGAUGGUGACUCUUUCCACAGUUUAACAUGUAAUGACAUUUUUUAAAACUAGGAUUUUCUUGAAUAUUACUGACUAAUAAGCAAAUAAGGAAAGUUGAACUGGUACAGAAACACCCUUGCUUGAUCCUUUAAUAACAAGGAAGACAAAAUUAUAUCGGCUCUUUAUAAAGCAGCAAAUGACCAUUAGUUUGUUGGAUGUAAAACACUGAUGACCUGCAAGUGAUAUUAGCAGUUAGAUAAAAUCAUCAAAAUUUCAAAUAUUAUUCUGGUUUCAAAGGAUUGGACUAUCAAGUCUCAUUGAAUAUUUUACUGACAAACAAAGGUGUGUGUAUGUGUAUAGAACAGAUGGAGUGAGUCUAAGCAGUUUCUGACUAUCCAGGCCACUUUCUAGAGCAAGUUUUUAACUUUGCCCCCAAGGCUGAUGAAUCCUAUUCUUCACUACUGGAGAAGAGGGAAGGUCUUCUAUUCUUGGACAGAAAAGAACUCAACAUAAGAUCCGACUUUCUUUAUUAGAACCAUCUGCUCUGGGCAGAAAUUUGCAGAUCUUGGUAAUAUGCUACAUUUCUAAAGAUUUUUCUUAUUCUUUUUGACUUUGGGUGUUUCCAAUUCAGGUAUAUGAAUCCAAGGGAACAGAAGUAGGGUAUAGAAAGAAAAUACAAGAGACCGAAUGAGCACUCACUAUAUUCCAGGCAUGCUGCCAGUUGGUUUCACCUACAUAAGGAUGUUUAAUUUUCAUUACAUUUCAGGUGAUCUGUAUUAUUAUUUCAAUUAAAUAAAUGAGGAAACUGAAACUCACAGAGGGUAAAAGGCUUGCCCAAGUUCUCAGAGCUCUAGAGGGGCAGAGUUAAAUUGUUUCUUGGUCUUCUGAUUCCAAGGCUAUGUUCUCUUGUAUGUUCUUGGUCUUCUGAUUCCAAGGCUAUGUAUACUAUAAUGCCUUUAUUGGUCUCAGUAUUUUCAUUCGUAAAAUAGUAGGUAACAUUUAUUGCUGUUGCUUAUUUUGAAAUUGAUUUUGUUGUUACUAUUUUUUGAGUUUGACUUGUGCCACUCUACUUUUUGUCUAUCAUUUAAUUAAAUCCGUACAGCAAAUGCAUGAAUUAUGUAUGAUCAUUUCCUUUUCACAGAGUAGACCUUCCUCCGUGGGAAUGGUUGAAGAAAUUUGCACUCCUUUUAGAUGAACAUUCUAAUCUUGCCUCUAAGACUCUUCCAAGGUGAAAAAAAAAAUUCAUUAUAUUCAGUUAAAACAUGGGCCCUUGAUAUGAACUCUGCUGCCUGCAUAGAACAUGUUGGCCGAAGCAGGGCAGGAGCAGGUGCAGGUGAGUGAAGGAAGACUGGGAACAAACACAGGACACCUCUCUCUGCAACUCCCGCAUUGUUCUGGCAAACACAUUCCGUACACAGUAAAAUCCAAAAUCCUGACAAUGGCUUGCCUGGCCCUGUUACCUCUCUGACCUCAUCCUCCCCUUCACCCACCCUGGUACAUUCAGCUCCAGCAAUUUGUGCCAAGAGAGCAGAAAAAAAGGUUUUCCUCGUGUGAAAGCAACCAGCCGCUGGGCAGAGCUCAGUGAACAGAGCAAGGACUGGAUCACACACCCCUUUGUUCUGUUCAUUGUUAGUUCUUGUACCUAGAACAGUUGUGCACAAAGAUUGGGCUCCAUAAGAAUUUGUUGAAUGAAUGUAUGAAUGAAUGAACAAAUGAAUGAGUCUGUUUUUCCUCCCAGCUUUUUCACAUGAUGAUAUUUCCCUGUACUUGCCUCUCACUUACAACAUAAAAUGCUGAUCUAUCAUCCUACAGUGUAAAUCUCUCAUGAGCGUCCCUUUAUCUCUCUGUUCCAGGUCACUGUGCUCCUGCCCAUUUUUGAGCUUCUGGAAUACAAGCUGUGCCUUUGCCUGGAAUGUCCCUCCCAGUCUGACUAGGCAUCUUCUGAUGGGGUUUGACCUGGUUGCUUCUAACACUAGGAUGGACCUCUUGGCAAUCUCUGGAUAUCUUUCUGUGGUUUGUUAUAAUGGUAAUUAUUACUUAUCUGGCUGCUUCACAUUGAUUAAUUAGUGGCGGAUAAGAAAACCAGAUGGCUAGCUGUGUUGUAACGGAGCUACAUGAUCUCUAUCCUCUAAGGUUUUCUAGUGAUUCUUUUUCAGGUUUUUUUAUGUUUUGUUUUUGACCUUAAAUAUAGACCACAAGGGUGUAGAGUGAUACGCAAAGCAGAACUCUUGAUUUAUAUUUUCUCCUCAAACUUUCAUCUUCCCCAAUUACCCACAGUGCAUGGUAAUACCAUCCAUUUAAUUUCUUAAGACAAAAAAGCCUGGGACUUAGCAAUUGAUCAUGAGUCUGUCUUUCCCUAGACCCAAGCCAUCAGCAAGUCCUAUCCAUUCUACCUGCAUGGCACCCCUCAAAUUCAUCUUCUUCUCUCUACCUCCAUGGUCCAGGUUCCCAGCAUUCUUGUCUGCACCGCUAACUCUUUAUUUUUAUUCUCCGUUGUCCAGCAAGUGAUUGGAAUCAUGUUUUAAGACAAAUUUGAUCAUGUUGCUCCUUUGCUCAAAGAUGCCCAAAUGGCUCCCUGCUGCACGUGGGAUAAAAAGUCAGGCCUUUACCUUGGCCCUGGAAGCAACACUCUGGCCCCUGCUAACUUCUCCAACUUCAGUUGGUACCAUUCCAUUCUCCACUUCUCACUGUGCUUCAGCCACACUAGCGCUCUUUUUGUUCCUUGAACUGGGCAAAUCAUUCCAUUGCCAGAGCUUUUUCAUCACCUGUUUCCUCCCUUUGGAAUAUGCUUCCCUCCAGUCUUCACAUGGCUGACUCACCUGUACUUUCAGAUCUUGAAUUAAAUGACACCUCUUCAGAGAAGCCUUCCCUGACCACUCCAUUUGGAAUAACAUGACCUCCCUCCCCUCUGUACACAGAGUCUUACUCUCUCAUAUCAUCUUGUUUCAAGUUCUUCCCAACAUGCACCACCAGAUUUUCUAUUUGUUGUCUCUCUUCCCCCAGUCAGAAUGAACUCUAUCAGAGCAGGAACCACUGUGGCUCCAGCACCUAGACAUACAAUAGGCUCUCAAAAUGUUUGUUGAAUGAAUGAAUAGAUCAGUCAAUAGUAACCUAAGAAUAAACUGAGAGUCAGGCAUCCUGGGUUCAAAUCUUACCUGGCUGCUCUCAAGCUAUGUGACUUUGAAUAUGUCAUGUGUGGGCUCUGGGCCUCCCUCUCAAUAUCUCUAAAAUGAGAUCUGAUUUAAUGAUCCCUAAAGUCCUUUGCAGCUUUCAGAUAUACUCUGAUCCUAUCAGCCGUUCAAUAUUGUUGACCAUAAAAAAUGGUCAAAGACGCUGAUGACAGCAAUGACCCCAGCUAUAGUUGAACUAUUUUUUAAUCCCAUGAGACAUCCCAGGCUACAUUUUAUUUAUGAUUUAUAUUUAAGUAUCAUAUCCAAAAAGUAUUUGAUGCAGCUCAAGUUUCAGACCCACUUCCCCAAAGAAGUCCUUACUUGCACCAUUUAUACAGGGAGAAGAAGAAGCACUCCCAUCUAGAUUGCUGUAUCAGAAUGGACUGUUAUGAUUGCAAAUGGCAGAAACCUAACUCAAUGCAACUAUAACAAUGAGGGAAAUGUCUUGGCAGCUCUUGAAAUCCAUGGAAGAACAAAAUGAUCCAGGUGCUGGAGGGACAGCAACAGAGCUGGACCUCAGGUGCUGCUGGAGCCAGAGGCUCAAUUUUCACUAGUCUUCCUUCCAGCUUCAUCUCUGUCUCUAUCAGUGUAUUGAUAUUCUUCUCUCUCAAUACAGCCUGGUUCUUUCCACAUAGUCCCAGCGCAGCAUUUAUCACACUCUGUAUUAACUUAUUUAUUUGUUUUCUUGCUUACUUUCAGUCUCUCAGUACAAUAAAAUAUGUUGAAGGCAAAAAUCCUAUGCAUUUCUGUGUCCCUUGCACCCAGUGAAGUGUCUGGAGCAUAGAAGAUGCUCAAUAAAUAUUAAUUGCAUAAAUCAGUGGUAGAAAACAUAGCAACCAACUUAUUCAGUGUUUAAUAUCCAACAACUUUAGUUCCUGGAAAAAAGCUAACAAAACUCUCUAGGGUUCUGCUCAAAAAAUAAAAUGAGUUAAUGAGAAAAACAAGUAAAAUCUCAGGGAAGGGACUUAUUUGUCCAGCUAGGCCAUAUGCUUACCCUUGGACCAAACAGUAGUAACUAUUGCCUGUGAUAAUGUCUUUGCAUCUAUGUGAAGCAGGGGAGGAGAAUCUUUUAGAAAAAGGUCAUAGGAGGAAAUCCCAGAGGAGUCAACACACUCACAGAGUUGUUGUGGAGAUCAAAUGAGCCAUUGCAGAAGAGGGUGCUUUGGAGAGCUAUUAUGAAGUUCCCAUUUUUGUAGGUCAAAAUUGAUCAAAUAUUGGCAAUUUUAUAUAUUUCCACUUAAUGUAAAAGUGUUAAAGAUGUUAUAUGGAUGUAAAAUAUGACUAAUUUGAUUUCAAGUCAGCAGAAUAAGAAAAGAAAACCAUGUUUUUAAGAUGAAGGGUUAAGUUGAUUCCCUUUUAUAAUGAUGGUAGCCGAAUAUGGUUAGCAUGUGCUAGCUUUAUGGGGAGCAGUGCUACAUGGGUUAUCUCAUUUUUUUCUUCCAACCCUUCCAUGAGAUAGGUACUAAUAAUUACAUCCCCAUUCUACAGACAAAGAAACUAAAGUUUCAAUGAGGUUAAACUAUUUGCUCCAGAUGACACAGUUCAAAAAG
rnacentral:lncRNA from 10 species